rnacentral:rRNA from 1 species
UACGGGGGGGGCAAGCGUUGUUCGGAAUUACUGGGCGUAAAGGGCGCGUAGGCGGCCAACUAAGUCCGACGUGGAAUCCCUAGGCUUAACCUUGGAACUGCGUCGGAUACUGGAUGGCUUGAGUUUGGGAGAGGGAUGCGGAAUUCCAGGUGUAGCGGUGAAAUGCGUAGAUAUCUGGAGGAACACCGGUGGCGAAGGCGGCAUCCUGGACCGGCACUGACGCUGAGGAGCGAAAGCCAGGGGAGCAAACGGG